AGCAGCCGCGGUAAUUCCAGCUCCAAUAGCGUAUAUUAAAGUUGUUGCAGUUAAAAAGCUCGUAGUUGAAUUUCGGGAUCAGUACGCUGGUCAUGCCUUUGGUAUGCACUGGUGUCACUGGUUUCUCCCUUCUGAAGAACCGUGAUGUCAUUAAUUUGGUGUCGCGGGGAAUCAGGACUGUUACUUUGAAAAAUUAGAGUGUUUAAAGCAGGCUCGCGCUUGAAUACAUUAGCAUGGAAUAAUGAAAUAGGACGUUUGACCCUAUUUUGUUGGUUUCUAGGAUCGACGUAAUGAUUAA
rnacentral:rRNA from 1 species